rnacentral:rRNA from 1 species
GCUUAUGGCCAUACCAGCCUGAAUGCUCCUGAUCUCGUCAGAUCUCGGAAGCUAUGCAGGGUCGGGCCUGGUUACUACUUGGAUGGGAGACUUCCUGGGAAUACCAGGUGCUGUAAGCC